UUUGAACUCUCCAGGAUCUCCAGGACCUUUCACAUCACUUGGUCUGGUUCUUCUUGGUUCAACUGUGUUGCUUGCAUAACACACGCUCAGCCUUCAUGGACAUCCAUUAUGGUGAAGCUGAUGAGAGCAGAGAAGUUGCAGGCUUGGAGAGGAGCUGGAAGACAUCCUGCCAAAACCCUGAGAACAUCCCCAGGGCUCAAAUUCUGCUAACCAAGAGAAAACAAUAUGUUCAGCUAUCAACAAAAGUGACGAGCUGGCAAGGAGGCAAGAAGAAAAAGGUAGUAUGAAGAGACAGAGCAAACAUCAGA